GACGAACGCUGGCGGCGUGCUUAACACAUGCAAGUCGAACGGAGAUUGCAGUAAUGUAAUCUUAGUGGCGGACGGGUGAGUAACACGUGGGCAACCUGCCUUUAACUGGGGGAUAACGCUGGGAAACUAGUGCUAAUACCGCAUAACAUCAUGAUAUGGCAUCAUAUUAUGAUCAAAGGAGCAAUCCGGUGAAAGAUGGGCCCGCGUCCGAUUAGCUAGUUGGUGAGGUAAUGGCUCACCAAGGCGACGAUCGGUAGCCGAACUGAGAGGUUGAUCGGCCACAUUGGGACUGAGACACGGCCCAGACUCCUACGGGAGGCAG
rnacentral:rRNA from 1 species